UGGCUGUGAUGACUGAUUACAUUUCUCGAUCCUGAUACAUUUGACUAAGUUAAGGACCAAAUUGAUGACUUUUUAUGCGUGUCUGAGCCAA